GAUGAAGAACGUAGCGAAAUGCGAUAAGUAAUGUGAAUUGCAGAAUUCAGUGAAUCAUCGAAUCUUUGAACGCACAUUGCGCCCCUUGGUAUUCCGAGGGGCAUGCCUGUUCGAGCGUCAUUAUAACCCCUCAAGCUCAGCUUGGUGUUGGGGCCUGCUGCACUGGCAGCCCUUACAAUCAGUGGCGGCGCCAUCUGGCUCUAAGCGUAGUAAUUCUUCUCGCUAUGGAGUCCUGGUGGAUGCUUGCCAUCAACCCCCAAUUUUUCUAUGGUUGACCUCGGAUCAGGUAGGGAUACCCGCUGAACUUAAGCAUAUCAAUAAGCGGAGGA
rnacentral:misc_RNA from 1 species